rnacentral:other from 1 species
AGCUUUUAUUGGGUAUCAGCAGUUGUCUUUCAUUAGGAGGAAGAGUGAGGAAGGUACUAAAGGGUGUAGCCAACUUUUAUAAACUUUACAGGGUUUUGAGUGCUUGAACUUACUUUUUCAUUUUACUUCAUCCUCUAAGGAGCACAGUCACUUGGUGUGCCUGCUUCACUUCUUUUAAGCGAAAGAACAGCGGACAGGCAGC